rnacentral:lncRNA from 1 species
GGAGACUUUCUGGGCCCUGGAUUGUUCGUGCGCUGCUCAUCCUUGCCCACCCCUGACGCCGCAGCCCGCAGUCCCGCAGUCCCGCAGUCCCGCAGUCCCGCAGUCCCGCAGCCCCGCAGCCCCGCAGCCCCGCAGCCCCGCCGCCCCGCCGCGGCACCGAGGACAGUGCAGCCGAGUUGCGUCUCCCUCGCGCGAGGUGAGUGGCAGCCGGGAUCCCGGCGGGUUCCGCAGAGGGGCUGCGGCGCGGUGGUGGGGGCGAGCGCCGCAGGGGCAGGGCCGGGCACUUCGCUGGCACCGCCGGGGUCUGUGACAACCAGACUGGGUCGGUGUCGCAGAAGAUCAGGGAGAAGGUCAUAAUCGGUUUGUUGGUAUGUAGAGAGGGAAAGCAGAAUACUGGCUGCAGCAUCGCGAGGGCUUCACAGAGGCUCCCCGCAUGGCUCCUGUUUACUGCAUCACAACCAACUCUUCCCUUGGUUUUCUCCGGCGUGGAAACCGGUUCUGUGGCCCAAGGGUCGGGGCGAUGCGGGGCGCCGGGAGGCGAGGGUGCGUUGGCGUGUUCCCGCCGCUUAGGAUCGCCUGUCACCUACUGGCGUCCGGAGGGAGGGUCCCGAUUCUCUCCUCUCGCGCUUGGGGAAAGGGCUGGUGGCUUUUUGGCAGGGGCGAAUCAACUCCCACCACUCUCCCAACCCCCUGCCCCGCGAUGGUGUUCUCUGAAUGUAGCACGGACAUAGGAAAAAAUGGGAGCGUCUUCCUCUCUUGAGAUAGAAAAAGUUGAAGAAACUAGGCAUGUUAGUAAUUAUUAGGAGCAGGACUCAGGAUGCAGCAGAAAGCUGUUAAAUUUUCAUUGCCCUCUAAGAAAAACAAACGGCAUCGCCAGUGACUAUUGGCAGUGCUGUGUUAUUCUUGGGACUUUGGGAAAAUUGUUCACAGAUUGUCUUCAGGAGGCUGAAGAACGAGGUUGGGGGUUGGGAGAGAGGGAGGACGGCUGGCAUCACGCUGAGUUCCAGCUUGCCUAAGGAGGGUUCAGGAUCACAAGCCGAACACGUUUGGUUGCUGAUUUUUAAAAGGAUAUCAGCGGCAGAACUGAGGCUAUGAACAGGGCGAACACACCACGGGAACCAGCCUAAAGAAAAAAAAAAAAAACCCACCACCACCACCAACAAAAAACGUGUAAAAAUCUGCCUCUCCUGCAGAGUUCACAUGCUUUUGUGCUAUAAAAUGGAUGCAUGUAUAUGUGUCUUUUAGGAUAAAUUUUAUGAAUGGCAAAUCAAUGAAAUUGUAUCUUGUUCAUGCAUACAGUGUUGUCUACUGCCUCGUUUUAAAAUCAGUACUUCGGAAGGCUGUGCCUGCAGUUGAUGUUAUAUAAUUGACGUAGUUCACCAUCAGACAUUUUUUUAAUGUACUUUUGGAGUAGAGGGAACUUCCAUCUGU